UACGGAGGGGGCUAGCGUUGUUCGGAAUUACUGGGCGUAAAGCGCGCGUAGGCGGACCUGCAAGUCGGGGGUGAAAGCCCGAGGCUCAACCUCGGAACUGCCUUCGAUACUGCGGGUCUCGAGUCCGGGAGAGGUGAGUGGAAUUCCUAGUGUAGAGGUGAAAUUCGUAGAUAUUAGGAAGAACACCAGUGGCGAAGGCGGCUCACUAGCCCGGUACUGACGCUGAGGCGCGAAAGGCGUGGGGAGCAAACAGG
rnacentral:rRNA from 1 species